AUGACUUCCGUUGCGAGUGUUCAGCCUAUUUAGAGUUUCCAGAGCUUUCCGACAUGUAUAUACAGACAUUCUACAAAUAAACUAAAGAAACACAGAAAAACAACUCCCGAGCAAACAAUGUGACUUAAAACAUCAGCGACCUCACAGCAUUCUACGUCAUGGACCAGCAGUUCACAGAGUCCUAGUUAAGCCGGGGACAUGUUCACAGAGCCACACCCUGCCUUCAUGCUAAUUACAGACACUCCUGUACCCGAUCCUUCCUUCCACAAUAUGUCAAAUUUCGUACAUUUCCUGUGAAAUGUGACACGCAAAAAUUGUUGUCAAGGAUCAAAUAGGCAAUGUACUUAUUCAAAGCACAUUGGCAUUUAAUUGGAAUACAUGAGAAAGAAUAAAACCUUUGAGUGUCA